CCUACGGGAGGCAGCAGUGAGGAAUUUUGCGCAAUGGGGGAAACCCUGACGCAGCAACGCCGCGUGAGUGAAGAAGGCUUUCGGGUCGUAAAGCUCUGUCAAGAGGGAAGAAAGUGGGAGAUGGUAAUACUGUUUUCUAUUGACGGUACCUCUGAAGGAAGCACCGGCUAACUCCGUGCCAGCAGCCGCGGUAAUACGGGGGGUGCAAGCGUUAUUCGGAUUUAUUGGGCGUAAAGAGCGCGUAGGCGGUUUAUCAAGUCAGAUGUGAAAGCCCUGGGCUCAACCUGGGAAGUGCAUUUGAAACUAGUAGACUUGAGUAUGGGAGAGGGGAGUGGAAUUCCUGGUGUAGAGGUGAAAUUCGUAGAUAUCAGGAGGAACACCGGUGGCGAAGGCGACUUCCUGGACCAAUACUGACGCUGAGGCGCGAAGGCGUGGGGAGCAAACAGGAUUAGAUACCCUGGUAGUCCACGCAGUAAACGGUGAUCACUAGGUGUAGCGGGUAUUGACCCCUGCUGUGCCGCAGUUAACGCAUUAAGUGAUCCGCCUGGGGAGUACGAUCGAAAGGUUAAAACUCAAAGGAAUUGACGG
rnacentral:rRNA from 1 species